UACAGAGGGGGCAAGCGUUGUUCGGAAUUACUGGGCGUAAAGGGCGCGUAGGCGGCCUUCUAAGUCGAACGUGAAAUCCCCGGGCUCAACCCGGGAACUGCGUCCGAGACUGGAAGGCUUGAAUCCGGGAGAGGGAUGUGGAAUUCCAGGUGUAGCGGUGAAAUGCGUAGAUAUCUGGAGGAACAUCGGUGGCGAAGGCGGCAUCCUGGACCGGUAUUGACGCUGAGGCGCGAAAGCCAGGGGAGCAAACGGG
rnacentral:rRNA from 1 species